AAAUCCUUGAUGUUGAGAGUCAAAGAAAAGGACUUUCCCUCAUAUCAAGUCACCACACGCUCUCACAGCCAAAAGGUGAGCCCAAAACUUAAGGUUUUCAGCACCAAACCCAGUGGACAGUUACUCACAGUGGAAGAUCUCUCACAGGCAGAAAGAUCAGUUAUCUCUUAUGUUCAGAGGCAAGCAUUCCCAGCCGAAAUUAGAACACUGCAAAUGACCCCACCUCAAGUGAAAAGGAGCAGCAAGAUCUGUAGGCUCGAUCCUGUGCUAGAUGAAGGCAUCUUAAGAGUAGGUGGCCGGCUGCAUAAAUCUGCUAUGCCUGUUGAAACAAAACACCCCUGCAUCUUACCUAAAGACUCACACAUUUCAAUUCUUCUUUUAAGACACAUUCAUGAAUGCUGCGGUCACAGUGGUAGGAACCACAUGCUUUCAGAGCUCCGCAAGAAAUAUUGGAUUAGUAAGGCAAACUCAGUAGCAAGAAAGGUGCUUUCCAGAUGCGUUGUGUGUCGACGUGCAAGGGGCAAAGUUGGUGAGCAGAAGAUGGCAGAUUUGCCAGCAGAACGAAUCCUACCUGACCUACCUCCCUUUACCAAUGUCGGAUUGGACUACUUUGGCCCGAUUGAGGUAAGGCGAGGGAGAAGCACCAUCAAGAGGUAUGGAGUUCUUUUUACAUGUAUGUCUAGUAGAGCUAUACAUUUGGAAGUGGCUUUCUCAUUAGACACAGACUCAUGCAUUCAUGCUCUGAGAAGAUUUGUUUGCAGAAGGGGUCAAGUUAAACACAUCAGAUCUGACAACGGAACAAACCUGGUGGGUGCUCAGGUGGAGCUCAAGAAGGCUCUGAUGACGCUGAACGAGACGAAGAUCCAAGAUGCCCUGCUUCCUGAUGGAAUCCAGUGGAGUUUCAACCCCCCAGCUGCAUCGCACCAUGGUGGAGUCUGGGAAAGGCUUAUAAGAUCUGUUCGUCACGUGCUGAACUCUACGCUCCAUCAACAGUCCAUCGAUGAUGAAGGCCUUCAAACUCUGUUCUGUGAGGUAGAGGCUAUCUUAAACAACCGUCCUCUCUCCACAGUGUCCUCAGACCCAUACGACCUAGAGCCACUGACACCAAACCACAUCCUCCUGUUGAAAACCCAGCCCAUUCUGCCCCCUGGAACCUUCCUGAAAUCCGACCUUUACGCCAGACGCCGCUGGAAACAGGUCCAGUACAUGGCGGACCUCUUCUGGCAUAGAUGGUCCAAAGAAUAUCUUCUUCUGCUUCAAGAGAGGCAAAAAUGGACUGCGGUAAAGAAGAACCUGAACGUUGGAGACCUUGUCCUGGUGGUUGACCCCAAUGCUCCUAGAGGAUCGUGGCCGUUGGGACGAGUGCUAGAGACCAAGCCUGAUGGAAAGGGGCUGGUCCGGUCCGUGAAGCUCAAGACACAGACUUCAGUCCUUGAUAGGCCCAUUACCAAGCUGUGCCGAAUUCUGGAGUCUGAAGAGUGUCCAGUGCCUCCUAAAGACCACCAUUAGGGGACGUAAUGUAUAUAUAUAUACAUAUUUUUCUGUAAUAUGAGAUAUUGAUUUUUGGCUCCUUUUUUG
ensembl:lncRNA